CAUCAAUAAUACCUGACAGGCCACGAGAGCAAAAUAAUGAUGAUGAAGGCCUCCACUGCCUAUCUGCCAUACUUCUCAGUAUACUUCCUCUCUGUCUCCUCCUGCCAGCUGUGAAAAAGACAGGAGUGUAAACCUGCAGAGAUCUCAGGCAGUUCUUGGAAAGUCUGCCAUAGUAGGCACAUCCUUCCAUGUGGCAAGCUGCUGCAGGAGCUAUGCCUUCCAGGCUGUAAUUCUUGGACUACCUCUGUAGCAUGCCCAGCACUGAUGUGCACAUACAGGGCUUCAUUUGCCAAUUUGAGGCUGCCUAACCUAAGCCUCUGUCACUGUUCCCUGGGUGAAAGACUUUGAAGAGCAUUUUCCUUGUACCCACAGCAGAGAUUGUCCAACACCUUUUGUGUGCAUCUUACUGCCUGAUAUUCCCUAGGGUUAUGAUGCUUUAUUACUUGUUCAUUGGAAAAACAACAACAAAACCAACACAACAACAAAACAAAAAAUUAGGUGAGAAUUAGCCUCAUAAAAUGAGAAAGCAUGCAAACCUAGAUCAUGGAUUCAUAGUAAUCUGAGUUUGCAAGAAUAUUUAUUUUCAAAUACAGAAAUAAGCUUACUUUAAUUAAGUACAUUGUAGGUAACCCAUGCUUUAGGAUUAGUUAAUAAUAUAAAACACUUCACAGAUCAAAUAAGAUAUUUUAUGUUUCUGCAGAGCAUUCAGCUUCUCAGUUUCCAGUAGAUUUUUUCUAGCAGAAACUUCCUAGGACUUCAUAGAUCUGUUUUAUUAAUCGAAAUAAUAUUGAAAGCAAUAAUAAAAAUAGGACAUAUGGUGUUUACAGCAUGUGACAAACAUCUCAAAGUAAGAAAAGCGUAUCAACAUACGCAUACAUCUUUUCUUCUUUUUAAAUUCUGUAGUAUUUUGAGAAGAUUGGUUUGGAAGAUGAAAAUACAAUUUCUUAACAGAUCACCUAUUGUGAAUUGUCAGUGACUUUUCAGCCAGAUCGAUUUUGAAUCCAUAAGCAUACUAGUGAACAAGUCAGCUGUGAGUUUAAUUGCUUUUCACUCAUUAUUUAACUAUUCGUAAUCCGUCUUUUCUCUUUUGUCACUUAUAAUUAUUUUUUAAUGUGCUUCAUGCAAAGUCAGGUGAAAUUUCACAGUGUGGCAGUACAGCAGCUACAAUUUGCAGCCUGCCAAAAACAUCUGUGGCUGUAUUUCAGUGUACAAAUUAUUCUGGUUGCAGAAUACUGGGUUUACAUGGAAGGUUUUUGUAGUGGGGGUGCUGCAGGGCUGGCCUGAGUGGCUUCCGUCCACAUUUCAAGGCUCUCAUGCAGGUUUUUAUCUUUACUUUCCAAAUGAGUAGAUAUAUAUGCAGCAUGCUUGGCUGAGUCAUGUCACUCUGCAGCUUUAAAUAGCAUCAUCAAAGCCUGGAAGAGGGAGCUGGACUCAGUAUUUCUGUAACAACAUGUCAGUCAAGGACAAAAGAGCUCUGUGUAGCUCCCUAUUCUGAAACACAAGGGAGAAGGAGUGUCAGCGGGUGGGAAAAGUAUCAUGCAGUGCUGCCUUGUUACUGUAAGGGACCUCCCUGGAUAUAGUCACGCUUUUAUUUCGGUACUGCUGAAAGGCUGUAGCACCAGCAAUGUGGUUUGUCCAAGUAAAUCCUCAGAAGAUAUUUUUGUGGGUUUUGGAUGUUUCAAGCUCUCGGCUCUUCGAUUUGCACUUUUUCCUUCGGAGUGAAACUCUCAGUUAGUCUUGUAGUCAGCACAGGCUCUGUCACCCAGCAUUUCAUUGCCCUUCAGCCCUCAGAAAUUUUUCUGCAUAGCACAACAGAUGCACUGAGCCAAUAGAAGACCGUAUAGAAGACUUUGAGCUCUUUAAACAAGGGCCAGUAGGGCCCACCUCACGUCAACACGCCUAGAGGAGGCUUUACGCCUUUCACACGUGAAACCAAAACAGGAGGCUCAGCAGGGAGCAGUAGUUGGCUGCAGUAGAUAAGACUGGAAGGCUUCAGGAGAGGUGUGGAAAGACUGAAGCUCUCAAGCUUAAAGCUAAGCUUGGAGAAAUAGUCAGGUUGCUUGGAUCAUUCUUUGUUUGCAUUCCUUAUUUUCAACUUCGUAGUUAUAAGUCUUUAGCAAAAUUCUGAGGACAGUUUUCUACGGCAUGGUUUUGCCACUUGAUGAAUGGGCAUAUCAGCUUGCAUCUAUUUAAACAGUUCAUUUUAUAGCACUUUAUAGAGCUCUCCAAUUGUUUAGCUCCAGCUACCUCCUACUGUGCUGUGGAAUAACAAAGUAAAACAGUAUCUGUACUAGAUUAUUCAUCUUAUUUCUUCCUGCAGACUAAUAGAAGCUGAAAGUACCAUCAGAUCAUUUUGUUUUACUUUCUAUGCAGUUACUUCAGUGUUAAUCCUGUGGCUGACCAAAGUCUCUCAUGGAGGAAAAUGACCCCUCUUCUUUUUAAAGAUAUCAGGAAAGAUCUUGUGGAACUAUAUUCUAAUGGGUGAUUAUCUUCCAAUAAAAAAGUAUGCAAUUUGUUUUUUGCC
ensembl:lncRNA